rnacentral:rRNA from 1 species
GACUGGGAUAACUCCGGGAAACCGGGGCUAAUACCGGAUAACAUUUUGAACCGCAUGGUUCGAAAUUGAAAGGCGGCUUCGGCUGUCACUUAUGGAUGGACCCGCGUCGCAUUAGCUAGUUGGUGAGGUAACGGCUCACCAAGGCAACGAUGCGUAGCCGACCUGAGAGGGUGAUCGGCCACACUGGGACUGAGACACGGCCCAGACUCCUACGGGAGGCAGCAGUAGGGAAUCUUCCGCAAUGGACGAAAGUCUGACGGAGCAACGCCGCGUGAGUGAUGAAGGCUUUCGGGUCGUAAAACUCUGUUGUUAGGGAAGAACAAGUGCUAGUUGAAUAAGCUGGCACCUUGACGGUACCUAACCAGAAAGCCACGGCUAACUACGUGCCAGCAGCCGCGGUAAUACGUAGGUGGCAAGCGUUAUCCGGAAUUAUUGGGCGUAAAGCGCGCGCAGGUGGUUUCUUAAGUCUGAUGUGAAAGCCCACGGCUCAACCGUGGAGGGUCAUUGGAAACUGGGAGACUUGAGUGCAGAAGAGGAAAGUGGAAUUCCAUGUGUAGCGGUGAAAUGCGUAGAGAUAUGGAGGAACACCAGUGGCGAAGGCGACUUUCUGGUCUGUAACUGACACUGAGGCGCGAAAGCGUGGGGAGCAAACAGGAUUA